AAAUUGAAGAGUUUGAUCAUGACUCAGAUUGAACGCUGGCGGCAGGCCUAACACAUGCAAGUCGAACGGUAACAGGAAGAAGCUUGCUUCUUUGCUGACGAGUGGCGGACGGGUGAGUAAUGUCUGGGAAACUGCCUGAUGGAGGGGGAUAACUACUGGAAACGGUAGCUAAUACCGCAUAACGUCGCAAGACCAAAGAGGGGGACCUUCGGGCCUCUUGCCAUCGGAUGUGCCCAGAUGGGAUUAGCUAGUAGGUGGGGUAACGGCUCACCUAGGCGACGAUCCCUAGCUGGUCUGAGAGGAUGACCAGCCACACUGGAACUGAGACACGGUCCAGACUCCUACGGGAGGCAGCAGUGGGGAAUAUUGCACAAUGGGCGCAAGCCUGAUGCAGCCAUGCCGCGUGUAUGAAGAAGGCCUUCGGGUUGUAAAGUACUUUCAGCGGGGAGGAAGGGAGUAAAGUUAAUACCUUUGCUCAUUGACGUUACCCGCAGAAGAAGCACCGGCUAACUCCGUGCCAGCAGCCGCGGUAAUACGGAGGGUGCAAGCGUUAAUCGGAAUUACUGGGCGUAAAGCGCACGCAGGCGGUUUGUUAAGUCAGAUGUGAAAUCCCCGGGCUCAACCUGGGAACUGCAUCUGAUACUGGCAAGCUUGAGUCUCGUAGAGGGGGGUAGAAUUCCAGGUGUAGCGGUGAAAUGCGUAGAGAUCUGGAGGAAUACCGGUGGCGAAGGCGGCCCCCUGGACGAAGACUGACGCUCAGGUGCGAAAGCGUGGGGAGCAAACAGGAUUAGAUACCCUGGUAGUCCACGCCGUAAACGAUGUCGACUUGGAGGUUGUGCCCUUGAGGCGUGGCUUCCGGAGCUAACGCGUUAAGUCGACCGCCUGGGGAGUACGGCCGCAAGGUUAAAACUCAAAUGAAUUGACGGGGGCCCGCACAAGCGGUGGAGCAUGUGGUUUAAUUCGAUGCAACGCGAAGAACCUUACCUGGUCUUGACAUCCACGGAAGUUUUCAGAGAUGAGAAUGUGCCUUCGGGAACCGUGAGACAGGUGCUGCAUGGCUGUCGUCAGCUCGUGUUGUGAAAUGUUGGGUUAAGUCCCGCAACGAGCGCAACCCUUAUCCUUUGUUGCCAGCGGUCCGGCCGGGAACUCAAAGGAGACUGCCAGUGAUAAACUGGAGGAAGGUGGGGAUGACGUCAAGUCAUCAUGGCCCUUACGACCAGGGCUACACACGUGCUACAAUGGCGCAUACAAAGAGAAGCGACCUCGCGAGAGCAAGCGGACCUCAUAAAGUGCGUCGUAGUCCGGAUUGGAGUCUGCAACUCGACUCCAUGAAGUCGGAAUCGCUAGUAAUCGUGGAUCAGAAUGCCACGGUGAAUACGUUCCCGGGCCUUGUACACACCGCCCGUCACACCAUGGGAGUGGGUUGCAAAAGAAGUAGGUAGCUUAACCUUCGGGAGGGCGCUUACCACUUUGUGAUUCAUGACUGGGGUGAAGUCGUAACAAGGUAACCGUAGGGGAACCUGCGGUUGGAUCACCUCCUUACCUUAAAGAAGC
rnacentral:rRNA from 1 species